AUGUAUAUUAAUCAGAUUUACGAAUUUUACAACAGUUGCAAAGCAGCUUUCUCUGCUGCCCCAUGUAAGGUUUGCCGAAGUAGGCAACGUGGCCAUUGUUUGGUCCAUUAUCGCAUAGCCAAAGUUUAGACGCCUAAGUUCGGCCAAUAUUCGGCAACAUAUCUUGUCCCCAACAUUGGUAAUUCUACUUAAGGCCGAUAUUUGGUUCGUCAUACAUGAACCUAUUUUGGCAUACCUAAAUAAAACCAUUUUUUGGCUGGGCACUACCAAGCCACAUUGCUAGCAGAGGUCCGGCAAAACACAGCCAGUGUUAGAAUUAACGAGUGCCCGAUCUGUGUGCACGUGUACGAUACACGUAAGAUACCCGCCUGUACAGGUUUCUCCCGGUAGUAGAAGACACCCCGCGCUCGCUGCGUGGAGACCUACCCAAAUCAGCCAGGAGUCGACGGUGCCGAACAUGAGAUGUUUGGCGGCCAACGCCUCCUGAACCCGAGGCACGUUCUCCAGUUAUAGCCAUUUCAAUUUUAACGCGCUAAAGUACGGACUAAUCGGCAGGCCGCAGAGCGGCUUCAGAAUUGGACACCGGGCUUCAUUCGAACGGGGCUUAACGAGUGCCGCCUUGAGCGUUCGUUUGAAAAACAGCCCACUGUGACGCAUCAUCAAGGCGCAAGAAAUCACGGCUGGACAGGCUCGAAACGCGGUGUUAAUAUAAGGAAACGCCGCUCCUUUUGCGUGGAAAUAGAAGCUGUAAUAGAACGUUGUUUCUCGGCGGCGGGGAAAAGAUUCUCGCCCGGCGGCGUUUCCAAUCGACCGCAUCGCGCGCGCGGUCGCCGCAGAUGUA